GACGAACGCUGGCGGCGUGCUUAACACAUGCAAGUCGAACGGAAAGGCCCUGCUUUUGUGGGGUGCUCGAGUGGCGAACGGGUGAGUAACACGUGAGUAACCUGCCCUUGACUUUGGGAUAACUUCAGGAAACUGGGGCUAAUACCGGAUAGGAGCUCCUGCUGCAUGUGGGUGUUUGGAAAGUUUCGGCGGUUGGGGAUGGACGCGCGGCUUAUCAGCUUGUUGGUGGGGUAGGGGCUUACCAAGGUUUUGACGGGUAGCCGGCCUGAGAGGGUGACCGGCCACAUUGGGACUGAGAUACGGCCCAGACUCCUACGGGAGGCAGCAGUGGGGAAUAUUGCACAAUGGGCGGAAGCCUGAUGCAGCAACGCCGCGUGCGGGAUGACGGCCUUCGGGUUGUAAACCGCUUUCGCCUGUGACGAAGCGUGAGUGACGGUAAUGGGUAAAGAAGCACCGGCUAACUACGUG
rnacentral:rRNA from 1 species